UUUCCGGUUGAUCCUGCCGGACCCCACUGCUAUCGGGAUAGGACUAAGACAUGCUAGUCGAGCGCCUCCCAGCCACGACGGAGGCGCGGCGCACAGCUCAGUAACACGUGGCUAACCUGCCCUCGGGACGGGAAUACCCCCGGGAAACUGGGGCUAAUCCUCGAUAGGUGAAGAACUCUGGAAUGAGUCUCCGCCCAAAAGACGCUUAAAUCAUGCUUUUAGGCGCCGCCCAAGGAUGGGGCCGCGACCGAUCAGGUAGUUGGUGAGGCAACGGCUCACCAAGCCUUUAACCGGUGCGGGCCGUGGGAGCGGGAGCCCGGAGAUGGGCACUGAGACAAGGGCCCAGGCCCUACGGGGCGCAGCAGUCGCGAAAACUUUGCAAUACACGAAAGUGUGACAGGGCUAUCCCGAGUGCCAUCCGCUGAGGAAGGCUUUUACCCAGUCUAGAAAGCUGGAAGAAUAAGGAGAGGGCAAGUCUGGUGUCAGCCGCCGCGGUAAUACUAGCUCUCCGAGUGGUGUGGAUGUUUAUUGGGCCUAAAGCAUCCGUAGCUGGCCAAGUUAGUCCCCUGUUAAAUCCACCGAAUUAAUCGUUGGUGUGCGGGGGACACUGCUCGGCUAGGGGACGAGAGAGGCCGACGGUAUUUUCGGGGUAGGGGUGAAAUCCUAUAAUCCCGAGAGGACCACCAGUGGCGAAGGCUGUCGGCUAGAACGCGCCCGACGGUGAGGGAUGAAAGCUGGGGGAGCGAACCGGAUUAGAUACCCGGGUAGUCCCAGCUGUAAACGAUGCAGGCUAGGUGUUUGGGCGGCCACGGGCCGCUCUAGUGCCGCAGGGAAGCUGUUAAGCCUGCCGCCUGGGGAGUACGGUCGCAAGGCUGAAACUUAAAGGAAUUGGC
rnacentral:rRNA from 1 species